UUAACCAUGAUCAAGAGAUUUUGCAGAUUCUAUAAUGGGGGAAAUAUUACACCUAGAUUUCACUUCAGCCUUUCCACCCCAAUACCAUUUAUAUUUAAGAAACUAUUACAUGACUUUUGUCACUAAAUAAAACACAUUAUUUUCUUACGAUUCAACAUAAUAAACUAAAGAGCCAAAUGCAUCAUGGUGAGAGAAAUAGUAACUCUCUGCUGACUAGGGCAGAAAGACAGUCUCUCAGCCUAUAAUGUGCCUUAGAUUUUCCUACUCAAAAGCAUUUGACUGAGUCUACAGCGGGAUCUCACACGGUACAUCAGUCCAGAGGUUCUGUAUUUGGCAUUCUGUGCUGUUAAUAUUGCUAUUCAUCUGUACAAGCCUGUUUAAACUCUAGAAUAAAAAAAAAAUAAAUUAUGUUUAGGUUUGCACCUUUACCAUACUUCUUUGUGUGGUCAGUGUGUGGUUGGUCAGUGUAUGGUCAGUGUAUGGUCAGUGUGUAGUCAGUGUGGUCAGUGUGGUCAGUGUAUGGUCAGUAUGGUCAGUGUAUGGUCAGUGUAUGGUCAGUGUGGUCAGUGGUCAGUAUGGUCAGUGUGGUCAGUGUGGUCAGUAUGGUCAGGGUAUGGUCAGUGUAUGGUCAGUGUGGUCAGUAUGGUCAGUAUGGUCAGUGUAUGGUCAGUGUAUGGUCAGUGUAUGGUCAGUGUAUGGUCAGUGUGGUCAGUGUAUGGUCAGUGUAUGGUCAGUGUAUGGUCAGGGUAUGGUCAGUGUGGUCAGUGUAUGGUCAGUGUAUGGUCAGUGUAUGGUCAGUGUGGUCAGCACAGACACGCACGCACAGAAACCUCAGCUGGUCUCAUUCUGUCAUCCCGAAUCUGACCCCUCCCAGCAGCCAGAACUGACAAAACCAAAGCAGCCAGAACUGACAAAACCAAAUCUGACUGAGGUACCUGUAUGCAGAGUUCGGUUUGACACCUCAGUUCCUCUGAGAUACAGAACUCAGGUAUUUGGAAAUGAGCCUAGG
rnacentral:lncRNA from 1 species